GAUGAACGCUAGCUACAGGCUUAACACAUGCAAGUCGAGGGGCAGCAUGAACAAAGCUUGCUUUGUUUGAUGGCGACCGGCGCACGGGUGCGUAACACGUAUCCAAUCUGCCCGCGGCUCGGGGAUAGCCCAUCGAAAGAUGGAUUAAUACCCCGAUGGUGUGGUUUCUCCGCAUGGGGUUUCCACUAAAGGUUUUCCGGCCGCGGAUGAGGAUGCGUAUGAUUAGGUAGUAGGCGGGGUAACGGCCCACCUAGCCUUCGAUCAUUAGGGGUUCUGAGAGGAAGGUCCCCCACACUGGAACUGAGACACGGUCCAGACUCCUACGGGAGGCAGCAGUGAGGAAUAUUGGGUCAAUGGGCGGAAGCCUGAACCAGCCAAGUCGCGUGCGGGACGAAGGCCCUACGGGUCGCAGACCGCUUUUGCGCGGGGAUAACGGCCGCCGUCUUGAGGCGGCGUGAAGGUACCGCGCGAAUAAGGAUCGGCUAACUCCGUG
rnacentral:rRNA from 1 species